rnacentral:lncRNA from 1 species
UCCGCCGCCCCGACGCGGCCACGCCGACCUCCGCCGCCCCGACGGGCCACCGCCGACCUCCGUCACCCCGCCGGCCGUGUCAUGAGAGAAGAGAGGGAGAGAGCAAAGAGAGGUGAGAGAGAGAAAGUGAACAAUGGAGAGAGAGGAAAGAGGUAAAGUAAGAAUAAAAUAAUUUUCGUGGGACCCACGUUAAGCAAUAUACGAGAUGAGUGGCUUCGUCCUAAGUGACAAAUGCUUUUUUGCUAGAGCAACUCAUUCGUAUAGCCCGCAUAGUGCAUGGGAGCGUGCCGGCCGGGCGUCAUGGCGUGGAUGCAGCUGCACAGCUGCAGUGCGUGUUUCGGCCCUUGUCUGCAGCUUGAAAACGCAGAGAUUCUACGCGAAUUUGAUAGGCCGGUCUUUGAAUUGUUGGUGAACCUACCAAACAGUAGCUACUAUACUAGUACUCCUACAUUAUUUAAUAUUUAUUACUACUAAAUACUAAUUUGUGCCAUGUUGGUAUAUUCACUUACUGCACUGGUAGGCUAGUGGUGGUGUAUGCCCUGCUGCUUGCAAGUGAGUUGUUGGCGAGUCAGCUGCUGCUCGAUCAGCUAACUCAACGCCUACCACUUGUCUGAUCAUACGCGAGAGUACACGACUCCAGGAAAUGUAAUUUCCCUCUUUUAAUAUGUCUAGAAUUUAUUUUUUGUGAUAUAAGUAUUGUUCACUGAUUCUUAUGAUUUAAUCAUUUUAAUGAUUUUAGAGCCAAC